UUCAACGGCCGCGGUAUCCUAACCGUGCAAAGGUAGCGUAANCACUUGUCCCCUAAAUAGGGACCUGUAUGAACGGCUAAAUGAGGACUAANCUGUCUCCUCUAACCAGUCAGUGAAACUGAUCUGCCAGUACAAAAGCUGGCAUUUCUUCAUAAGACGAGAAGACCCUGUGGAGCUUUAAAUUUUAAGCCACAAACCACUAAUUUUACAUAGUACACUAUGGCCCAAAAUUUUAAGUUGGGGCGACUUCGGAAAAAAACAAAACUUCCGAGCAUAAAGAAUAUUAAUCUUACCAAGACCAACAAGUCAAAGCAAAAUUAGACCCNNUAAAACUGAUCAUCGAACCAAGUUACCCCAGGGAUAACAGNGCAAUCCUCUUCAAGAGUCCAUAUCGACAAGAGGGUU
rnacentral:rRNA from 1 species